rnacentral:rRNA from 1 species
GUGCAGCAGGCGCGAAACUUUACAAUGUGCGAAAGCACGAUAAGGGAACUCUGAGUGCCUCCUAAGGAGGCUGUUCAGGUGUCUAAAAGCACCUGGAGUAAGGGCUGGGUAAGACCGGUGCCAGCCGCCGCGGUAACACCGGCAGCCCAGGUGGUAGCCACUUUUAUUGGGUCUAAAGCGUCCGUAGCCGGUCGAGUAAGUUCCUUGGGAAAUUUGGCUGCCCAACAGUCAAGCUUCCAGGGAAUACUGCUCGACCUGGGACUGGGGAGAGGGUCAGAGGUACUCCAGGGGUAGGGUGAAAUCCAUUAAUCCCUGGGGGACCACCGGUAGCGAAGGCGUCUGACCAGACCAGGUCCGACGGUGAGGGACGAAGGCUAGGGGCGCGAACCGGAUUAGAUA